rnacentral:rRNA from 1 species
AUUGAACGCUGGCGGCAGGCCUAACACAUGCAAGUCGAACGAGUGGCGGACGGGUGAGUAAUGUCUGGGAAACUGCCUGAUGGAGGGGGAUAACUACUGGAAACGGUAGCUAAUACCGCAUCCCAUCGGAUGUGCCCAGAUGGGAUUAGCUAGUAGGUGGGGUAAAGGCACACCUAGGCGACGAUCCCUAGCUGGUCUGAGAGGAUGACCAGCCACAUGGGAGCGGGGCCACGGUCCAGACUCGUACGGGAGGCAGCAGUGGGGAAGAUGGAACAAUGGGCGCAGGCCUGAUGCAGCCAGGCCGGGUGUAGGAAGAAGGCCUUAGGGUUGUAAAGUACUUUCAGCGGGGAGGCGUUACACGCAGAAGAAGCACCGGCUAACUCCGUGCAAGCAGCCGCGGUAAUAC